UGGGGAAUAUUGCGCAAUGGGCGAAAGCCUGACGCAGCGACGCCGCGUGGAGGAUGAAGGUCUUCGGAUUGUAAACUUCUGUUAGGUGGGAAGAAAUACAUAGUUUUAAUACAACUAUGGGAUGACGGUACCAUCAGAGAAAGCACCGGCUAAACUCGUGCCAGCAGCCGCGGUAAUACGAGUGGUGCAAGCGUUAUUCGGAGUGAUUGGGCGUAAAGGGUGCGUAGGCGGUAUGUUAAGUUAAUUGUUAAAUCCCUCGGCUUAACCGAGGAUCGGCAGUUAAUACUGGCGUACUUGAGGAUGGAAGAGAGAAGUGGAAUUCUCGGAGUAGCGGUAAAAUGCGUAGAUCUCGAGAGGAACACCGAUGGCGAAGGCAGCUUCUUGGUCCAUUCCUGACGCUGAGUCACGAAAGCGUGGGGAGCAAACAGG
rnacentral:rRNA from 1 species